UUCAAAAAUAUUCUUUGUCCCACAUCGGAAAAAUGAGAAGUAUUAUUUCUCUGUCCCACAUUGUCAAGUGAGAAGGGUUGCAGUCUUUGUCCCACAUCGGAAGUGAGAAGGGUUGCACCUCACUCUGAAGUCUAUAAAUAGGAUCCACUUCUCCCUCAGAAAAUCACCCCAGCAGCUUCAGUUAAUAUCUUUUGAUAGCUGCUCUAUCUCUCUCUCUCUCUUUCUUUUAUUUUUUGUUAGUUGAUAUCUUUCUGAUAAUUCUGUUCUCAUCUUCCUUUUUAUAUAUAUAUAUCUGCUGGUUUUAAUUUGCUAGUUCUGGUCCUUCUAGUUUGCAACAAGAAGAAAGGUUGUCUUUCUUGUUCGCAAUAAAUAGAAGAAGGCUUGUUUAAUCCUGGGGAAAUAUUUCAAUACUCUGAAAUAGUUUCUUAGGACAGUGCUACGCACGACUCAAGCAGAUAGUGUUAACAUUGUUGUAGCCAUUUAUCCAACAAUCUAAGAAACUAUGGCAUCUGACAAUGUUAGCACCCC
rnacentral:lncRNA from 1 species